rnacentral:rRNA from 1 species
GAUGAACGCUGGCGGCGUGCCUAAUACAUGCAAGUCGAGCGAACAGACGAGGAGCUUGCUCCUCUGACGUUAGCGGCGGACGGGUGAGUAACACGUGGAUAACCUACCUAUAAGACUGGGAUAACUUCGGGAAACCGGAGCUAAUACCGGAUAACAUGUUGAACCGCAUGGUUCAACAGUGAAAGACGGUCUUGCUGUCACUUAUAGAUGGAUCCGCGCCGCAUUAGCUAGUUGGUAAGGUAACGGAUUACCAAGGCAACGAUGCGUAGCCGACCUGAGAGGGUGAUCGGCCACACUGGAACUGAGACACGGUCCAGACUCCUACGGGAGGCAGCAGUAGGGAAUCUUCCGCAAUGGGCGAAAGCCUGACGGAGCAACGCCGCGUGAGUGAAGAAGGUCUUCGGAUCGUAAAACUCUGUUAUUAGGGAAGAACAAAUGUGUAAGUAACUAUGCACGUCUUGACGGUACCUAAUCAGAAAGCCACGGCUAACUACGUG